rnacentral:rRNA from 1 species
GGCGAGUGAGCGGGAAGAGCUCAAAUUUGAAAUCUGGUAGCCUUCGGUUGCCCGAGUUGUAAUCUAGAGAAGUGUUUUCCGCGUUGGCCCAUGUACAAGUCCCUUGGAACAGGGCGUCAUAGAGGGUGAGAAUCCCGUCCUUGACAUGGACCCCCAAUGCUUUGUGAUACACUUUCAACGAGUCGAGUUGUUUGGGAAUGCAGCUCAAAAUGGGUGGUGAAUUCCAUCUAAAGCUAAAUAUUGGCGAGAGACCGAUAGCGAACAAGUACCGUGAGGGAAAGAUGAAAAGCACUUUGGAAAGAGAGUUAAACAGUACGUGAAAUUGUUGAAAGGGAAACGAUUGAAGUCAGUCAUGCUCUUUGGAUUAAGCCGUUCUGCGGUGUAUUUCAUUGAGCGGGGUCAACAUCAGUUUUGAUCGCUGGAAAAGGGCAGGAGGAAGGUAGCACUCUCGGGUGAACUUAUAGCCUCUUGUCGUAUACAGUGAUUGGGACUGAGGAACGCAGCAUGCCUUUUGGCCGGGAUUCGUCCACGUACAUGCUUAGGAUGUUGACAUAAUGGCUUUAAACGACCCGUCUUGA